GGUAUAUAGAUGAUGUAAUCUAGGAUUGGUUACAUGGAGAAACAACCCACAAGGGAACGUCGUAUGUUUUUGCGGAGAGUAAUCAGAGGCUAAUUACUUGAGCUAGCUGCCUUGCACCAUGAGUUUUAUAUCUUGCAUGCGUUUGUGCUUUGGCUCCUCAAAUAGACAACUGUCAGGCAAUGAAGCUCCACUAGCCCCAGCUGGUCCAGUGUACGAGGAAGUUGGUCUAGCAAUGACACCAAGAGCACAGGACAUUCAAGUGGAGUCUAAUAAAGCUUAUGGACAAGUAAUGGCAAAGCAACACAUCAAGUUGCAGUCAAACCAUGCAUAUGGGGAAGGAAAUCAGAGUAGCUUGAAUGAGUAGCUAGGUUGAUAUAAUAAUUAUAGAACUUAACUCUGGGCAGUUAAGGCCUGGGUCAGGCACUGAUAAGACUAAUUUUAUUCAUUGCCUACAUUAUAAUUAUGUAGAUCAUGUAGUGUUAAUGAAAUUCAUAAUGUUUAUUAAUGUUAUUCAUUGCACAUGACGUUGUAAAGUCAAUGUAUUUGCUUAGCCAUAGAUAUAAGAUCUUAAGAAGGGAGAGGGAUGGGAAACGGAGCAUGUGCGCACAAUCACUUCUGUGUAAUACCAAAAAGGUUGAUCCGCGUUUCGGCUCUAGACACCCCGCCAACCCAGCGGGAAAUAUUAUUACUAUCAUUCACAGCUCCCCACUGAGACUCUUAGUACUGUGCUGAGCAUCCACACCUACUGUGCAUCAUAUAGAGGUGUUGUGUAUCUCACCAAGAGCUUGAAAACUUUCAAAGGCAGUUUUUUGAGUGUUGUAUUAUCGUUUCGGCUCUAUCUAGUGGCUUUGUGUACCUUCUACAAGGAGAGGCUGUGACUACAGCCCAAAAUAUUAAUGAUUUUCUCUCUUUCUUAAGUAUAGCUGGGCAUUGUAUGCAAGUAAAAUCAAAGCCACUUGGCUUUAGAUUGGUAAGUAAUGUUCAUUUUUGUCUUAGUAAGCUGGUUUUUAAAAGCAGACUUUUGUGUACCCAUUUAGAAAGUUACAUCAAUGAUUGAAUGUAGGUAAAUGUCUCUUUGUAUUCAUUGAUAGUUGGUUCAUCGUAUCGGCACAGUAAUUUACGACAGAACUUUGCUACAUUUCUAUAAUUCUCUAUCAUGUCUGUGACUGUACUGGAAUACUCAACGGUACAGACAGAGCUCCUCUCAAGAAUUUGCCUGUCCAAGCUGCUUUUUACUGCUUGGAGGGUCUCACUAACUAUUGCUGCUACCUUGUUGUGGCUGUUCCACUAGUCAUUGCUAAUACAUGGAGCUCAAUAGCUAGUUUAUAGCCUAUAGUACUAGCUAAAAGCAUGGGUUGGAGGAAAUAAAGAAGAAAACAUUGACCGAAACGCGGAUCGUCAAUGCUAUUUACGUAGCGUUUCCCAUCCCUCUCCCUUAGCUAGCUGCUAGAACUAUUAUAGAUUAUCUUUGGCAACAAAUACGGCCGACUUAAACAAGGUAAGAGUAGCUGUUUAGGCCCUCAAAAGAUAGAUUAUGUUGUUAUGAUUAUGUUUCCUUGAUGGGAAGUAAAAAUGUCCAAAACUUUCUUAGCUAUGCUAGCUUCUUUAGCUCUGACAGCCACCCUAGAGGUAGGCUAUUUUGUGUAUCUCAAGAAUACAAUAACUCCUACUCUUCCCAUCAAGGAUACUAGUACCUAGCUAUGAGAUGUUCAUCUAGCCUUGUUUUUGAAGCUUGAUCUUAGCAUCUUCAACGCUGUAUUUGCAUUUCUCUUUCUGAAAGUGGCAUGACGUCAUCAUCAUUUAUGGGACUAAUUAGCAUAAUUGAAUUAAGCUAAUUAGUUUUUUGGAAAAAGAAAACAUUGAGCUUCAUUUUAAUGCAGCAUACACUGUAUAUUGCAAAUAAUACAGCAGUAUGAACGUAGUGUCAAUUUUGGUGUUGAAAUCUGGACCCGGGCCUUAAGUGCGCAGAGUUGUUGUACCGAUGCUAUUACUAUAGUUGCAUGUUCUGGUGAGAUCUUAGCCUCGAAUCCACGCCGAUUAAAAUACGUAUUUUAAUCGGCGUGGACUUGAGGCUAGUGAGAUCUAUAUUAAUUAUAGUGUAUAUUCAAAUAAUUGUAUAGCAGCCAGUUUUUGAGAGUACGUACACUCAUCAAGUUAUAUAAUGACUAUAGCUAUAUACCUGCAUGUAUACAGGUGAAUGUAUUCUUCCUCUUGGCUGCUUUGCGCAGUGUCUAUAAACAGAGAAAGUUAACCAUGCAUGCAACGAAGUGGAAAAAAGGAAUCUUUACAGUUAUUCUUGUUACAAACUUCCUAAAGCAAUGCAGAGAAUGGAUAGCAUUGUAUCAACUUCUGCCUCAGGAAAAACAAUCCGAGCAAGAAUCCGGUGAGUGCAUGGUGGUGUUCAGCUCAAGCCAAGUCACUCUAGAUUCAGCAAACACAAUUAUAGCACCAUGCAAUAUGAAGCCAUUAAAGUCGAUGAGACUGCAUCUGAAUUCAGCUCAGAGAAGUCGUACAAUGCAGGAUUGCUUGAAAAUGCAAACAAUUAAUUAAGUGGCACGAAACUAUUACUAGAGAAUAUAAAAUGUUCACGGAAAGCCUAAUUGAAGUACAGCUAUAUAUAUAUACUCAGUAAUAUAGUUUUUUUCACCUAGUGCCGCUAUAUUUACUAUACUAGAUUAACAGAAUGAAUCAUGUAGUGCAAAGUUUUAUUUGAAGUCCAUACUGUUUAUUGCAUGUCAGUGUAGUUAAGACCUAUUAUUUA